rnacentral:rRNA from 1 species
AUACGGAGGAUGCGAGCGUUAUCCGGAUUUAUUGGGUUUAAAGGGUGCGCAGGCGGGAGAUUAAGUCGGCGGUGAAAUUUUGCAGCUCAACUGUAAAAGUGCCUUCGAAACUGGUUUCCUUGAGUGUAGAUGAAGUAGGCGGAAUUUGUGGUGUAGCGGUGAAAUGCAUAGAUAUCACGAGGAACUCCGAUUGCGCAGGCAGCUUACUAAACUACUACUGACGCUCAGGCACGAAGGCGUGGGGAUCAAACAGGAUUAGAUACCCUGGUAGUCCACGCAGUAAACGAUGAUUACUAGCUGUUUGCGAUACAAUGUAAGCGGCUGAGGGAAAGCGUUAAGUAAUCCACCUGGGGAGUACGUUCGCAAGAAUGAAACUCAAAUGAAUUGACGGGG